rnacentral:rRNA from 1 species
UAACAGAGGGAAACUUCUGAUAAUACUGGAUAAGUUAGUAUAUCGCAUGAUAUGCAAAUGAAAGCUACGGCACUAAAGGAGAGCUUUGCGUCCUAUUAGCUAGUUGGUAAGGUAAGAGCUUACCAAGGCGAUGAUAGGUAGCCGGCCUGAGAGGGUGGACGGCCACAAGGGGACUGAGAUACGGCCCUUACUCCUACGGGAGGCAGCAGCG